GGAGAGGUGGCUGAGUCUGGCCGAAGGCGCACGACUGGAAAUCGUGUAAACGUGAUGAGCGUUUCGAGGGUUCGAAUCCCUCUCUCUCCG
rnacentral:tRNA from 1 species